AGAGCUACCACCAACAACAGUGUCCUUCAGAAGCAGCAACUGGAGCUGAUGGACACAGUCCACAACCUUGUCAAUCUUUGCACUAAAGAAGGUGUUUUGCAAUAUGGAUGUCAAUGGGGGAGGUUGGACUGUAAUACAACAUCGUGAAGAUGGAAGUCUAGAUUUCCAAAGAGGCUGGAAAGAAUAUAAAAUGGUUGUAUUUAAAAGGUCACACUGGGACAGCAGGAAAACAGAGCAGCCUGAUCUUACACGGUGCUGAUUUCAGCACUAAAGAUGCUGAUAAUGACAACUGUAUGUGCAAAUGUGCCCUCAUGUUAACAGGAGGGUGGUGGUUUGAUGCUUGUGGCCCCUCCAAUCUAAAUGGAAUGUUCUAUACUGCGGGACAAAACCAUGGAAAACUGAAUGGGAUAAAGUGGCACUACUUCAAAGGGCCCAGUUACUCCUUACGUUCCACAACUAUGAUGAUUCGACCUUUAGAUUUUUGAAAGCGCAAUGUCAGAAGCGAUUAUGAAAGCAACAAAGAAAUCUGGAGAAGCUGCCAGGUGAGAAACUGUUUGAAAACUUCAGAAGCAAACAAUAUUGUCUCCCUUCCAGCAAUAAGUGGUAGUUAUGUGAAGUCACCAAGGUUCUUGACUGUGAAUCUGGAGCCGUUUGAGUUCACAAGAGUCUCUACUUGGGGUGACAGUGCUCACGUGGCUCGACUAUAGAAAACUCCACUGACUGUCGGGCUUUAAAAAGGGAAGAAACUGCUGAGCUUGCUGUGCUUCAAACUACUACUGGACCUUAUUUUGGAACUAUGGUAGCCAGAUGAUA
rnacentral:sRNA from 1 species